rnacentral:tRNA from 1 species
GCGGCCGUGGCGAAAUCAGGCAGCACGCGAGGGUUUUAGGUGCCCUUGGGCGAAAGCCCGUGUGGGUUCGAAUCCCACCGGCCGCAC